AGGAGGAAGGAGCUCUCUGCUGUGAGAGAGAAGAGAAGCCAGAUGAAGGAGAAGCAUCUGACACGCCGUGGGAUGAAGAAUCCCGAUGAAUAUGUCACCCUCCUGAGCUUGUAUCAUAUACCACUACCAGCGAUUGCCCUGACAUUGCAUAGACAUACAUUCUGUUGAAGGUUUGUCUAGCUGGUGGAAGAGGUGUCCGACAGUUACCAGUAUGUUUUGGAACACCUCUGAGUUUGUGGAAUUAAUGACACUGGCACCAGCCCCAAUCACUCCCAGCACUAUGUCCAGAGACCUUUGCCUUCCUGGAGCAUGGGAGUUGUCAGCAUCCAGCUUGGCAAGGGUUUGCCUAACCCAUGCCUGUCACCUGAUGCUUAAAGGGAUCACAGUUUCCACACUGUUGCAGGACACUGUGCUUGCAAGUCAAUGGAUCUAGUUGUAUGUAUUAG